rnacentral:rRNA from 1 species
AAAGCGUGCGCAGGCGGUUGUGCAAGACAGAUGUGAAAUCCCCGGGCUCAACCUGGGAAUUGCAUUUGUGACUGCACAGCUAGAGUGUGUCAGAGGGGGGUAGAAUUCCACGUGUAGCAGUGAAAUGCGUAGAUAUGUGGAGGAAUACCGAUGGCGAAGGCAGCCCCCUGGGAUAACACUGACGCUCAUGCACGAAAGCGUGGGGAGCAAACAGGAUUAGAUACCCCGGU